rnacentral:tRNA from 1 species
UCCGAGGUAGCUCAGUGGUAGAGCGACCGGCUGUUAACCGGUUGGUCGUGGGUCCGAAUCCCACCCUCGGAG